rnacentral:lncRNA from 1 species
UCAAAGUAAUUUACUGUGAACUUACAUUCAGUACCUUACUGUUUAAGUAAUGCAAUUAUUAGCCAGUAAUUUACUGUAAAUUUAAGGUCAAAUAUUUUACAGUGAAGAUUCACCAUGACUCAUUUCUGUGCGUGUGUGUGUGUGUGUGUGUGUCCAGGUUACCAGAAUGACCGAUAUGAAGUCCGGGAUGGUUGAAUGUCACACGUCCUUCUUCUAGUUAAUGACUUUGAGCCCUGAGGCCUCAGACGGGAGCCUGCAGACCUCCAGAUUGAUCUCCUUCAGGCUGUGUUUCAGAAGAGAAGCUGCGCUGUAUGUGAGAGACACCAAGCUGAGAACUGAAGAACAGCCGGAGCACCUCUUAAAAAGUCACACUUUCAUCUUCUGUUUAAGAGACUUUAAAAGGACAUUUCUGACAAACAUUUGCUAUUCAGAAACUGCUAUAGGGUGAGCAGAGGACAGAAGAGAAGAUCAAGACGUCUUUGAUGUGUUGCCCACUGCAGGCGAUACAGGGAUAUGGAGUGAGAUUUCUGAAAUAUGUAACAUCUAGAUUUAAAAAGUAACAUCUUGCUGAAAUCCAGAGAAAGAACUGGUAUGUUUUAUGCACCGAUGUGAAUGUUUUGAUGUCAGAUACAAUGGUGUUUAUGGGUGUUUUUCUUUCAUCGAUUUGAGCUUUAACUGGCUCUUGUAUACAUCUAGACGUGUAGUCUGUGUGUAUUAUGGGGAUCAUGAAGUAUAUAGGAUUGAGGAAUAUAGAAUUUAGGUUCCCGUUCUGCUGAACAAUUCCUUUAAGGUUUUAAAAAUGAAAUAUUUGAUGUUACUGUUCAUAAUAAUCAAGGGAUGCUAUGGGUUUUAGCCCCCUGUGUUGGGUAAAGUUACUUUUAAAAUGUAAUUCAUUACACUUUUGCAUUAUAUUCUAGUUACUUUUUAGGAAAAGUAGUGUGGAAAAAAUUAAUUUAUUUGUAUUAAUUUUGUGUUUUGAUUUCUUAGAAAAAUGUUUUGACUAACAACAGAUUAAUCAAUAUUUUCUUUUGUAUUAUAACACAUCUUGACCAGACACACUUCCUCUUUUUUACUGUGCUGCAUACUUUUUUAAGGAACAUGCUGACAAGAGGAAAAAGCAAAAAGUGUGGGGGCCUUUGUUUAAUACAAUGUCUAGAGAUGUUACAAGUUGUCAUGAUGCUUGUAGAAGUUGUGAAAUAUAUUUAAGAUGCAUGUAACUGUUCAAUCCUGGUAUGCAGAGAAGGGUUGCAGAAAGAGGAAGUAUGUAUGGGGGUAUAAGAGCCAAAGGACUGCAGAAUGACCGAUAAGUGACGUUACACCAAAACUGCACGCGUUAAUAUCAGUUGUGUAUAUAUGCUGGAGUCAGGAAACUUAAGUUAGUUGCAAACCUCUUGAUUUAAUUCUUGUAUUGCAUUGGGGUAAUGUAACUCUGUGAUCGAAUUAUUCAUUUGUAUCUAAUAAAUUACUAAUAUUUUUGGCAUUGAAGAAAACACUCUCCAG